CUCCUAAGAAGUUUGGGAACAGCCGUUGAUAUAAGAGAAAGCAAUAUAGGUUGAGAGAGAAUCCAUAACCCAAUAAAAAUAUAUGGCUGAUGUGAUUUCAAAGAGUCAUGGAAAUAUGUGAGAUGAUUGGUCUAUCAUCCACAGGCUGAGGAUUAUAUAAGAGGACAUCCUUUUAACAAGACAGGUCAGUUUAUUUUCUUCUUUAAAUGUAAUGCGUUGUUUUAUCCAUACAUGUGGGUUAUUGCAUUGUUCUUGUUGGAGGGAUGUUUCUGUUGUUGUUGUGCUUUAUCAAUAGUUUCAAAGGAGAGAGAAAAUCAUCCACCUUCACAGACAGAAUGAUUG